rnacentral:lncRNA from 1 species
GUAUGGCCUCAUCCACUGUUACUUCAGGCCCAGGGCUGUAGAGGUAUGGCCUCAUCCACUGUUACUUCAGGCCCAGGGCUGUAGAGGUAUGGCCUCAUCCACUGUUACUUCAGGCCCAGGGUUGUAGAGGUAUGGCCUCAUCCACUGUUACUUCAGGCCCAGGGUUGUAGAGGUACGGCAGACGCUCCACCCACUUCUCCCAGACCUCUCUUAUGGCCGUCAGUUUGUCUCUCACAUGUUUUGCAGGUCUUGACUCACGGUUAUCAAAUCGUAGCAUUCUUGAGAAAGUGUGAAAGACUUUCAGUGGCAUCAUGGCAUGGAAAAUCACCCUUCCACUCUCUGCAUCCCAGAGACUACAUGUAGCCUCACCUCGAGACCUAUAC